GAAGAAUGGAAGUGUGGAGAGGAAGGCAAGGGGGAGGGCAAUUUAUAGAGUUUUAAAACCAUCGGAUUUGUGCCAAGUGGUGAAAUCUAAUAAAGAGAGAGGAGAAAAAGAUCCUUGACAUGAAAAACGAGAGAAGAGGGCCUCUUCUACCAGCGGCAGCCCACCUAAGGUAGCAACAGUGCACUGCCCGAGGAGGUAGUGCCCUGACCAACGCAAUGAAGGCUAGCUUGUAGGCGCACAAGCCU
rnacentral:lncRNA from 1 species